UUGAACGCUGGCGGCAGGCCUAACACAUGCAAGUCGAGCGGUAGCACAGAGAGCUUGCUCUCGGGUGACGAGCGGCGGACGGGUGAGUAAUGUCUGGGAAACUGCCUGAUGGAGGGGGAUAACUACUGGAAACGGUAGCUAAUACCGCAUAAUGUCGCAAGACCAAAGUGGGGGACCUUCGGGCCUCAUGCCAUCAGAUGUGCCCAGAUGGGAUUAGCUAGUAGGUGGGGUAACGGCUCACCUAGGCGACGAUCCCUAGCUGGUCUGAGAGGAUGACCAGCCACACUGGAACUGAGACACGGUCCAGACUCCUACGGGAGGCAGCAGUGGGGAAUAUUGCACAAUGGGCGCAAGCCUGAUGCAGCCAUGCCGCGUGUGUGAAGAAGGCCUUCGGGUUGUAAAGCACUUUCAGCGGGGAGGAAGGCGUUAAGGUUAAUAACCUUGGCGAUUGACGUUACCCGCAGAAGAAGCACCGGCUAACUCCGUGCCAGCAGCCGCGGUAAUACGGAGGGUGCAAGCGUUAAUCGGAAUUACUGGGCGUAAAGCGCACGCAGGCGGUCUGUCAAGUCGGAUGUGAAAUCCCCGGGCUCAACCUGGGAACUGCAUUCGAAACUGGCAGGCUAGAGUCUUGUAGAGGGGGGUAGAAUUCCAGGUGUAGCGGUGAAAUGCGUAGAGAUCUGGAGGAAUACCGGUGGCGAAGGCGGCCCCCUGGACAAAGACUGACGCUCAGGUGCGAAAGCGUGGGGAGCAAACAGGAUUAGAUACCCUGGUAGUCCACGCCGUAAACGAUGUCGAUUUGGAGGUUGUGCCCUUGAGGCGUGGCUUCCGGAGCUAACGCGUUAAAUCGACCGCCUGGGGAGUACGGCCGCAAGGUUAAAACUCAAAUGAAUUGACGGGGGCCCGCACAAGCGGUGGAGCAUGUGGUUUAAUUCGAUGCAACGCGAAGAACCUUACCUGGUCUUGACAUCCACAGAAGUUUCCAGAGAUGGAUUGGUGCCUUCGGGAACUGUGAGACAGGUGCUGCAUGGCUGUCGUCAGCUCGUGUUGUGAAAUGUUGGGUUAAGUCCCGCAACGAGCGCAACCCUUAUCCUUUGUUGCCAGCGGUCCGGCCGGGAACUCAAAGGAGACUGCCAGUGAUAAACUGGAGGAAGGUGGGGAUGACGUCAAGUCAUCAUGGCCCUUACGACCAGGGCUACACACGUGCUACAAUGGCAUAUACAAAGAGAAGCGACCUCGCGAGAGCAAGCGGACCUCAUAAAGUAUGUCGUAGUCCGGAUUGGAGUCUGCAACUCGACUCCAUGAAGUCGGAAUCGCUAGUAAUCGUAGAUCAGAAUGCUACGGUGAAUACGUUCCCGGGCCUUGUACACACCGCCCGUCACACCAUGGGAGUGGGUUGCAAAAGAAGUAGGUAGCUUAACCUUCGGGAGGGCGCUUACCACUUUGUGAUUCAUGACUGGGGUG
rnacentral:rRNA from 1 species